rnacentral:ncRNA from 1 species
UUGACUGGGGCAGCACACCUGCCAAGCCAUAAUACAGAUCUCUUAAGGUGAGUUCAGGGAGGAUGGAAAACCCCUGUGGAGGAGAAGCUUACUUGAUCUUGCCUUUCAGUACAAAUACAGACUGUAAAAAGGGGCCUCAUGAUCCUUGUGACUUUCUGGGUUUUGCCCAAG